CCUGGUUAAGGGUGGAGCCAUUUACGAUAUGAAAUCACACUCCAAGCUACUCCAUUUUCAAAAGUUGGCAGCCCUUAACUCAGAAAUUAGCAAAUUCGGAUUGUAAAUUGCAUAUAGGUAGGUGGGCGUUCAAUACAUUUGGGUUUCGAAUAUUAAAGCAAACGCGUAAGUGUUCAUUCGCAGCAGGGUUUUGCGCGAAAGGAAAAAGGAAUGUUCAUUUGUGGACGGGGAUAGGAGUCGUCUUUCUCCGCCAUUUUGUGACAACAAGAAACGGAAAAUAUAGCUAGCAAAGAACCGACCACAGAGUUCAGAAUGACGAAUGAGGAACCCCUUCCAAAGAAGGUUCGCCUCAGUGAAUCUGACAUGAAGACCCUGACCCGAGAGGAACUGUGUGUGAGGUGGAAACAACAUGAAGCCUAUGUCCAGGUCCUGGAGGUGAAAUAUGCUGAUCUGAAUUCGAAUGAUGUGACAGGGCUGAAGGAGUCUGAGGAGAAGCUGAAGCAGCAGCAGCAGGAGGCGUCACGCAGGGAGAACAUCCUGGUCAUGCGGCUCGCCACUAAGGAGCAGGAAAUGCAAGAGUGUACAACCCAGAUCCAGUACCUCAAGCAAGUCCAGCAGCCCAGUGCAGCCCAACUGCGGUCGUCCAUGGUAGACCCGGCCAUAAACUUAUUUUUCCUCAAAAUGAAGGGCGAACUGGAACAGACUAAAGACAAACUGGAGCAGGCCCAAAAUGAACUGAGUGCCUGGAAAUUUACACCAGAUAGGUAAAGACGAUCAAAAUAACUCUUUCCCCCCCCCCCCCCAAAAAAAAGCCAAGACCUCCUCACACCCCCCACCCCCACUGCAGGCAUGCAGGAAUCAUGGUGGGGGGGGGGCAAGGCUGAGAAAUGCUGUACUCACCACAAGACUCAAACUUUACCAAAAACUCAAACCCAAACACACACACAAACUGGCAUCCAUGUUUUGUGUACUCUUGUACUGUCCCCCAGCUACAUAUCACAUAAUCUAAACUGAAUGAAAAAGACAGUAUGGUCAGGUGACACUUGUUUCAGCUCUAUCUCCCCCCUCACCGUCCAGGGGCCCUGAAGGAGUCGGAACUGUUCCUGAAGAGGUGGUCACGUCCGAGACGGAUAUGCCCUGCCCCCUCAGCCGAAGCCAGACAGUUGCCUUAUUAAAUGUGGGGUUAUGGUGGAGAAUGAGGCAGUCUUGAGCAAUCUGCCGGAGCAGGGAGAGCACCCCUAGCCUAAAUCACCAAUUGAACAUUUGAAAGACAAUGCCCCGCUAGCUAAAGACAUUUUAACAGUGGAAAACAGCUCACUCGUACCCGCUAGUGCUCCUGAGACUCUAAGGCUCUUGUACAGAUUGUAGAAUACAAUGAAAAUACUGUGGGGAAAGCUCUAGAAUAAGAUGUAAGACUUUGGAAGGAGGGGCCAGUAGAAUGUUUAAGAAUCUGGAGGAGGAGCCAGAUCCCUAGUCCAGAAGUGACUAUGGUUGAGGCGUGGGCGAGCGAGGGUCCAAUCGCCUAUGUCUGAUCAUGGGCCCGCAUACUGCCAGACGGGGAAGAAGCUCAUGGCCAAGUGCCGGAUGCUGAUCCAGGAGAACCAGGAGCUGGGGAGGCAGCUGUCCCAAGGACGUAUCGCCCAGCUGGAGGCAGAGCUGGCCUUGCAGAAGAAGUACAGUGAGGAGCUGAAGAGCAGCCAGGAUGAGUUGAACGAUUUCAUCAUCCAGCUGGAUGAGGAGGUGGAGGGCAUGCAGAGCACCAUCCUGGUCCUCCAGCAGCAGCUCAGGGAGACCCGUCUGCAGCUCUCCCAGAACCCAGCUCAGGCUGCCUCUGUUGGCGCAGGGCCCAGCAGGACUUCACCCUCCAGCUCCUCUGCCGAGCCCCCCAGCCAGGCCGAGCAGACCUUCACCCCCUCCGUCCAGCCAGGGAAAGACUGUGAGAGGGUCUCCAACGGACCUAGCAACUGUAGCUCGUCCUCCCAGAGGGGCGCAGCAGCCACCCCCAGCCUGUACCGUGAGGUCAGCAGCACAGAGGAAGACUUUCCUCCGUCUCCCAUGGUUUCCAGCCCCGGCGAGACUAAACUCUCCAACCACUCAGAGGCGGCGGGGGGCCUGACUAGUGACGGUGCAGGGGGUUUCGGGAGCCAGCUGAGUGCAGGGUACGAGAGUGUGGACUCCCCUACUGGCAGCGAGACGUCCCUGACGCAGCACUCGAAUGACACAGACUCCAACACCGACCCCCAUGAGGAAAAGGCUGUUCCAGUCGUCAAGGGCAACAGGACUGCUGGGUUGCGGCACGCUCAGAACGGCCUGGACUCAAACGGGGGCGCAGUUUUGUAAUGUACUUUAUAAUAACACUGUCUUUUUCUUUUUAUAUGAGACCCAAACAAAAACAAUGAACACAUAGUCGGUAACAGUACUGUUGUCCAGAAUUUGUGUACCCCCCCUUUCCUAUCGUGAUACCUCUGCCACAACUUAAAGAAAAUAAUUGCAUUACUAAACCGGAACAUUAUGUGAAAUAUAUGUAGAUUUGAAUUUAGUUUUUUGUAUGAUUCAAGAUAGAUAUUAUUUUUCUUCCAUCUCUUGUUUAUUUGAACCCAUAACAUUCUUCUUUUGAACUCAUGACAAAGUCAAAUUGUCACACAUCUGGUGGUGUAUUCAUGUUCAAUAAAAGUCAAACCACAGUUCACUUUAGGAGCUUUGCAGUGUUCAAGGAUUUCAUCUUUUAGAUGUUGACCUGUGUUUUUUUUUAAAUUCAGUUUAUAAGUUUCCAUCCAUGGCAAAAUGUUUCAGUUUGACUUGUGUAGUUUCUACGCAAUGUAUCUUGUUGAAUUCAUUAUUCUGACUUCCAUCCUUUUCAUGUACUGACCAAUAUCAAUAAAGACUUAAAUAUGACCAUGA